AUUAUUUUGGCAGAAUUGAUGUUUUAAAUUUAGAAUUUAAUUAUAUGUUAUACACAUAAAUAAUA
rnacentral:tRNA from 1 species